CUCGUGAUCCGCCCGCCUCGGCCUCCCAAAGUGCUGGGAUUACAGGCGUGAGCCACCGCGCCCGGCCCUCCCAUCUCUUGCAUUCAUAUAUUUCUAAGUUUUUUUUGUUUUUGUUUUUGUGCUAUACCUAAGAAGUACUUGAGAAUUGUGAGGAGUAUAAAAAUAGUCAAAGCGGCCGGGCGUGGUGGCUCACGCUUGUAAUCCCAGCACUUUGGGAGGCCGAGGCGGGCGGAUCAUGAGGUCAGGAGAUCGAGACCACGGUGAAACCCUGUCUCUACUAAAAAUACAAAAAAUUAGCCGGGCGUGGUGGCGGGCGCCUGUAGUCCCAGCUACUCCGAGAGGCUGAGGCAGGAGAAUGGCGUGAACCCGGGAGGCGGAGCUUGCAGUGAGCUGAGAUUGCGCCACUGCACUCCAGCCUGGGCGACAGAGCGAGACUCCGUCUCAAAAAAAAAAAAAAAAAAAAAAAAAUAGUCAAAGCUGGCUGGGCGCGGUGGCUCAAGCCUGUAAUCCCAGCACUUUGGGACGCUGAGGCGGGUGGAUCACGAGGUCAGGAGAUCGAGACCAUCCCGGCUAACACAGUGAAACCCUGUCUGUACUAAAGAUAGAAAAAAUUAGCCAGGCGUGGUGGCGGGCGCCUGUAGUCCCAGCUACUGGGGAACUCGGGAGGCUGAGGCAGGAGAAUGGCCUGAACCCAGGAGGCGGAGCUUGCAGUGAGCCGAGAUUUCGCCACUGCACUCCAGCCUGGGCGACAGAGUGAGACUCAGUCUCCAAAAAAAAAAAAAUAGUCAAAGCUCUUGGAUUUACAAUUUGGUCCAUAGCCUUGUUUUGAUCUUUCCUUUCUCCUGUUUUAUUGCCAUUUACUACGUACUGUACAAACAUCCCUUUCAACUGCUGAUAACUUGGAAACAAGCCUACAAAAAUAAGUAAUUUCUAACUACUACUAAUACUACCCCUAACUACCCCAAGCCCUUACCACACUAACGUGACAUUAUUAAAUUUUUAAUUUUAUUAACACUAAUAUUUUAACUACAAUUACAGCAUAUGGGCAAUGCAGAAUUUACCCAAAAGGAUACUAAUUUGGAACUAAAAAAUAACACCUUUUGCACAUGUAUCAUGUCACAACCAGUUUGCCAUUGAAACAAAUAGAGGUUGCAAAUAUUGUCAGAUUGUCAGGCUGUAAGAAAGGAUGAAAUUCAUUUCCCAUUGCAUCAUCUUGUGGCCCAUGGAUUUCAAGUGCCUUAGCCAAAAUCGUAUAGCUAGUUAACAGUAGAGCUGAGACUCAGAAAAAAAAUAAAACAGACAGACUGAAACAAAAAGUCUUCUAAUUCCCAGUCCCCGUGUAAAAUUUGCUUCAUGUAAACAAACCUAAUUGUAAAUGGCACUGUAGCAACAGGCUUCUUUUUAACAGUUGGAUUGGUAAAGGUCUUGUUUGCAACAUAUUGCAAGUAUUAUUUUUCUCUCUUUUUUUUUUGUUUUCCCCCAACAGAGUCUGGCUCUGUCGCCCACGCUGGAGUGCAGUGGUGCAGUCUUGGCUCACUGCAGCCUCUACCUCCCAGGUUCAAGCAAUUCUCGUGCCUCAGCCUCCUGAGUAGUUGGGAUUACAGGUGCUCACCACUAUACCCGGCUAAUUUUUGUAUUUUUAGUAGAGAUGGGGUUUCGUCAUGUUGGCCAGGUUGGUCUUGAACUCCUGACCUCAAGUGAUUCACCCACCUUGGCCUUCCAAAAUGCUGGGAUUACAGGCUUGAGCCACCAGGCCUUUCUUUGUUCUUAGGAGUACAGUCAGACUAACUUCUAGUAGUUAUAUUUCUAAUAAUUGAGGAUGUAAGUAAGGAUCAAAUCUUAAAUCAGUAUAAUGCAUUAUCAUUCCAGAGAUAAAUCCUAGACCCUUCUUGGCCUCUUUCUGACAUAAUUCUAAUCCUACUGUCUCAGAGAUGCUGCUGUAUCCUGACCCCAACCCCAUGGUAGUGAUAGUGGUUUGUGCCUUGAAUGAAUUGCUUUGUAUUUAGCUUUUUCCCCCCUAGAUUUCUAGUUCCUUUUCAGUAUUUGAUUUGAUUUGAGAUUUGAUUAACCUAGUACUCAGGUUCAGAUGCUCGCCUCUUUGCAAUUUUAACACUCAUUCGACAAUAAACUCAGUGAAAAACACAAA